rnacentral:rRNA from 1 species
CAAUAGCGUAUAUUAAAGUUGUUGCAGUUAAAAAGCUCGUAGUUGGAUUUGUGGCGUACGGUGUGUUCCGGGCACUUGUUGUCUGAGUAACCUGCUGUUGCCAUCCUUGGGUGGAACCUGUGUGGCAUUAGGUUGUCGUGCAGGGGAUGCCCAUCAUUUACUGUGAAAAAAUUAGAGUGUUCAAAGCAGGCUUAUGCCGUUGAAUAUAUUAGCAUGGAAUAAUGAGAUAGGACUUUUUUGCUAUUUUGUUGGUUUGCGCAAAGAGGUAAUGAUUAAUAGGGACAGUCGGGGGUAUUCGUAUUCCAUAGUCAGAGGUGAAAUUCUUGGAUUUUUGGAAGACGAACUACUGCGAAAGCAUUUACCAAGGAUGUUUUCAUUAA